rnacentral:lncRNA from 1 species
GAACACAUUGGCAAGAAAGCUCUACUGGAAUCUUUAUAAUCAAUAAAUCUGUUGUUUGCUGAAGGAUUAUAUCCCAAAAUUUGCAUGUUAAGCAGAUCUUUUCCCAAGAGCAUAUGUUUACAAUGAAGAAAGGAGGAGAGCACGCUCGAUACUCCAGGCUGAUGCACCUAUUUCUGGAGCCCAGAAUUCUGAAAUGAGGAUCACUGGACUGAACUGAAGGUAUGGGCAGGGCCGUGCUCCCUCUGGAAGAUCUAGGGGAGAUGUUGCUCUUUGCCUCUUCUAGUUUCCGGAAGCCUGGCAUCUCUUGGCUUGUGCCCAUAUCACUCUAACCUUCAAAGCUACCAUCUUUGAAUCUCUCUCUGUCCUGCUUUCACAUCACUGUCUCCUCUGUGUGGCUGUGAAAUCUCCUCCUGCCUCUCUUAUAAGAACACUUGUUAUUGCAUUUUGAGCCCACCCAAUAAUCCAGAAUAAUCUCCCCAUUUCAAGAUCUUUAAAGAUUCUAGGGAUUAAGACCAAAUAUCUUUAGGGGCCAUGAUUUGGUCAACUAAAAUCCCUAAUGAGGAGCUGGCUCCAUGGGGCAGCAAAGUUUGCACGUUCCACUUCGGCGGCCGGGGGUUCACCAGUUCAACUCCCUGGUGUGAACAUGGUACCACUUGGCAUGCCAUGUUGUGGUAAGCAUCCCACAUAUAAAGUAGAGGAAGAUGGGCAUGGAUGUUAGCUCAGGGCCAGUCUUCCUCGGCAAAAAGAGGAGGAUUGGCAGCAGUUAGCUCAGGGCUAAUCUUCCUCAAAAACAAACAAACAAAAUCCCUAUUGAUAUAUAGUCAAAGAGUAAAAUGUCCAGAUUAGCUCUAUUCUUCUGCUCCAACAACAAGAAACAACUGAUAAAAUUUGAAAAAAAGAGAGUCUGAAUUUUUGUGGAAUAUUGUAUAAUUCCAUUUAUAUGAGGUCCCUAGAACAGGAAAAUUCAUAGAGACAGAAAGUAGAAUAAAGAUUAUCAGGGGCUGAGGGAGGGGAAAUGGAC